UUUCCUGUGGCUCAGUCUGUAGAGCAGUGCACAGCAAUGCAAGGGUUGUUGGUUCGAGCCCCAGGAUAA